UACGUAGGGGCAAGCGUUGUCCGGAUUUAUUGGGCGUAAAGAGCGUGUAGGCGGCCUUACAGGUCAGCUGUGAAAACUCGAGGCUCAACCUCGAGACGUCGGUUGAAACCGUAUGGCUAGAGUCCGGAAGAGGAGAGUGGAAUUCCCGGUGUAGCGGUGAAAUGCGCAGAUAUCGGGAAGAACACCGGUGGCGAAGGCGGUUCUCUGGGCCUGACCUGACGCUGAGGAGCGAAAGCGUGGGGAGCGAACAGG
rnacentral:rRNA from 1 species